rnacentral:rRNA from 1 species
AGAGUUUGAUCCUGGCUCAGGAUGAACGCUAGCGGCAGGCCUAAUACAUGCAAGUCGAACGGUGUAGCAAUACAUAGUGGCGCACGGGUGCGUAACACGUAUGCAACCUACCUUAUACUUAGGGAUAGCCUUUGGAAACGGAGAUUAAUACCUAAUGGUAUAUUUAGCUGGCAUCGGUUAGAUAUUAAAGAUUUAUUGGUAUAAGAUGGGCAUGCGUCCAAUUAGUUAGUUGGUGAGGUAAUGGCUCACCAAGACGAUGAUUGGUAGGGGAACUGAGAGGUUAAUCCCCCACACUGGCACUGAGAUACGGGCCAGACUCCUACGGGAGGCAGCAGUAGGGAAUAUUGGGCAAUGGAGGGAACUCUGACCCAGCCAUGCCGCGUGCAGGAUGAAGGCGUUAUGCGUUGUAAACUGCUUUUAUAUAGGAAGAAACAGACCUUGCGAGGUAGAUUGACGGUACUAUAUGAAUAAGCACCGGCUAACUCCGUGCCAGCAGCCGCGGUAAU